UGCAGUCGUACGAGAGUUUUUAACUCAAGUGGCGGACGGGUGAGUAACACGUAAGAAUUUGCCUUUAGGAGGGGGAUAACAACUGGAAACGGUUGCUAAUACCCCAUAUGCUUUCGAGUGAAAUGGAUUUUUCCGCCUAGAGAGAAGCUUGCGGCUGAUUAGCUUGUUGGUAAGGUAAUGGCUUACCAAGGCGACGAUCAGUAUCUGGUUUGAGAGGAUGAUCAGACACACUGGAACUGAGACACGGUCCAGACUCCUACGGGAGGCAGCAGUGGGGAAUUUUCCGCAAUGGGCGAAAGCCUGACGGAGCAAUACCGCGUGAGGGAUGACGGCCUAUGGGUUGUAAACCUCUUUUUUCAGGGAGGAAAAAAAUGACGUUACCUGAAGAAUAAGCAUCGGCUAACUCCGUGCCAGCAGCCGCGGUAAUACG
rnacentral:rRNA from 2 species